UACGGAGGAUCCAAGCGUUAUCCGGAUUUAUUGGGUUUAAAGGGUGCGUAGGCGGCUUUGUAAGUCAGUGGUGAAAGCCCGCAGCUCAACUGCGGAACUGCCAUUGAUACUGCUAAGCUUGAGUAUGUUUGAAGUGGGCGGAAUGUGCAGUGUAGCGGUGAAAUGCUUAGAUAUUGCACAGAACACCAAUUGCGAAGGCAGCUCACUAAACCAUAACUGACGCUGAGGCACGAAAGCGUGGGGAUCAAACAGG
rnacentral:rRNA from 1 species